CCUACGGGCGGCAGCAGUGGGGGAUAUUGCACAAUGGGGGGAACCCUGAUGCAGCGAAGCGGCGUGGGUGAAGGAGUGCUUCGGCAUGUAAAGCCCUAUCGGCAGGGAAGAAGCAAGACGGUACCUGACUAAGAAGCCCCGGCUAACUAUGUGCCAGCAGCCGCGGUAAUACGGAGGGGGCGAGCGUGAUCCGGAUUCACUGGGUGUAAAGGGAGGGUAGGCGGCCAAGCAAGCCAGGGGUGAAAGCCCGGGGCCCAACCCCGGGACUGCCCUUGGAACUGCAUGGCUGGAGUGCGGGAGGGGCAUGUGGAAUUCCUGGUGUAGCGGUGAAAUGCGUAGAUAUCAGGCAGAACACCGGCGGCGAAGGCGGCCUGCUGGACCUCGACUGACGUUGAGGCUCGAAAGCGUGGGGAGCGAACAGGAUUAGAUACCCUAGUAGUC
rnacentral:rRNA from 1 species